AACUAGCGGCAACGAACGCCACUCCACUACCUGCAACAGGCUCUACGUGGCGAGCUACGGCGAUAGCCACGAUUUCGCUCCACUACCCUUCGCAAUAAAUUUCCCCUGACUAUGGGCGGCCCACUACCAGACAGUUACAAACGUCGCCAUCAAUCCGUUACCUCCUCCGCCUAUAAAAGGGGGACCCAGAUACGUUAUUCUAUAAGCUCAUUUCUUAUCUCAAAACUCUGCUAAAUUCUCCGUUCGAGCACUCCAUUCUUGUUGAGGCAGAGAACUGACUUUAGCGUUGGAGGGUCCUGCCGGAGCAACCCCACCUCCGGUUUAGACUUCCUUUGCAGGUCCCGACGGCGACCGCGGCUUCCCCAACUCCAGCUUCUCCAGCGCAAGCAGAUUUUUGCACCAAC
rnacentral:lncRNA from 1 species